UACGAAGGUGGCAAGCGUUACUCGGAAUUACUAGGCGUAAAGCGUGCGCAGGCGGUUUUGUAAGUUUGUCGUGAAAGCCCCGGGCUCAACCUGGGAAUUGCGAUGAAGACUGCAAGGCUUGAAUCUGGCAGAGGGGGGUAGAAUUCCACGUGUAGCAGUGAAAUGCGUAGAGAUGUGGAGGAACACCGAUGGCGAAGGCAGCCCCCUGGGUCAAGAUUGACGCUCAUGCACGAAAGCGUGGGGAGCAAACAGG
rnacentral:rRNA from 1 species